UAAAAGUCGUAACAAGGUCUCCGUUGGUGAACCAGCGGAGGGAUCAUUACCGAGUUUACAACUCCCAAACCCCUGUGAACAUACCUUAAUGUUGCCUCGGCGGAUCAGCCCGCUCCCCGUAAAACGGGACGGCCCGCCAGAGGACCCAAACUCUAAUGUUUCUUAUUGUAACUUCUGAGUAAAACAAACAAAUAAAUCAAAACUUUCAACAACGGAUCUCUUGGUUCUGGCAUCGAUGAAGAACGCAGCAAAAUGCGAUAAGUAAUGUGAAUUGCAGAAUUCAGUGAAUCAUCGAAUCUUUGAACGCACAUUGCGCCCGCUGGUAUUCCGGCGGGCAUGCCUGUUCGAGCGUCAUUUCAACCCUCAAGCCCCCGGGUUUGGUGUUGGGGAUCGGCUCUGCCUCACGGCGGUGCCGCCCCCGAAAUACAUUGGCGGUCUCGCUGCAGCCUCCAUUGCGUAGUAGCUAACACCUCGCAACUGGAACGCGGCGCGGCCAUGCCGUAAAACCCCAA
rnacentral:rRNA from 1 species